UCGUCAAUCCUCAUCCGACCUUUUUCUCGCCGAUGUGCGACCUGAGCCUCCUCGACCUGCAUAUACUUAUGGGCCCAAACUAGAAGAUCAGUAUAAUUCCUUAGGAAUAUCUUAUCCAUGGAGUAGAUGAGGUGCUUGUUGCAAAGGCCUUGCUUUAGAGCCGACAUGGUGAUAGCUUUAUCAAAAUUGCAAACUUCUAACAUGGCCGUGUUGAAACAUGCCACGUAAUCCCAUAGAGAUUCACACUCUUCCUGG
rnacentral:lncRNA from 1 species